CAGUCUCAUUCUUCUAGUCAAGUCCUAAUUCGAAGCAGAGUCCUCAGGGAAAAUGGAAAAUACAUUCCCAAACAGUCUUUCUUGACACGAAAAUAUUACUUCAACAACCCAGAGGAUGGAUUUUUCAAAAAAA